rnacentral:lncRNA from 1 species
CAUCACCUACAUAUAUGAGGAGUAGUCUAUUUUCUGAUCGCUGUGCUCUUUAUCCCAUGAACUUAUACUUUAUUAUCAUUAUCUUUAUGGUUUACCCCCUGCUAAAGUAAGUGACUGUGUGACGAGUUUCUCAUUAGUAAUCAUGUUCUUGCAAGUUUAUCUCUAGUCUAUGCCUUGAUAGAUUUUACCCCUUUGAUUUAAUUCCAUCUUCCUCAGAUCCCUAAGCAAAAUUAUAAAUAACGAUACCUGGAAUACUUAUCCUGGUGAAAUGCUACAAUGAGGUGUUUUAUCUGUGCGCUUGCGGAUAGAAUAGAUUAUUUUCUAGAGAGCCUUUACAUUUAUAAAUACCUUUGUACACUCUGGCGCCAUGCUAGAGAUGACAACCUAGUAUCUAAGUGGUGUUAGUUAGUGUCAACACCAACCAUAUGGCUUAUGAGCACAAACAUAUCACAUGACAACCAGAACACCAGAUGAUAACCCCC